UUGGAGGGCAAGUCUGGUGCCAGCAGCCGCGGUAAUUCCAGCUCCAAUAGCGUAUAUUAAAGUUGUUGCAGUUAAAAAGCUCGUAGUUGAAUUUCGGGGUUAGUAGGUUGGUCAUGCCUCUGGUAUGUACUGGUCUCACUGAUUCCUCCCUCUUGACGAACUGUAAUGUCAUUAAUUUGGUGUUGCAGGAAAUCAGGACUGUUACUUUGAAAAAAUUAGAGUGUUUAAAGCAGGCUAAGGCUUGAAUACAUUAGCAUGGAAUAAUGAAAUAGGACGUUUGAUCCUAUUUUGUUGGUUUCUAGGAUUGACGUAAUGAUUAAUAGGGAUAGUUGGGGGCAUUAGUAUUCAAUUGUCAGAGGUGAAAUUCUUGGAUUUAUUGAAGACUAACUACUGCGAAAGCAUUUGCCAAGGAUGGUUUCAUAAUCAAGAACGAAAGUUAGGGGAUCGAAGACGAUCGGAUACCGUCGUAGUCUUAACCAUAAACUAUCCCGACUAGGGAUCGGAUGAUGUCAAUUUUUGGAUGACUCAUUCGCGCAUACGGAAC
rnacentral:rRNA from 1 species